GUGCUCACUUUGGCAGCACAUAUACUAAAAUGGAAACAAUACAGAGAAGAUUAACAUGGCCUUUGCACAACAAUGGCAUGCAAAUCUGUGAAGCUUUCUAUAUUUUU